CUUCUCACUCUACAGGAACACAGCUCCAAGCGGCUCUGCUAUUUAUGACUGCGGAGUCACUUCUGCCUCCCCGGCUGCUUCACACGGAGCGCGGAGCCAGCCCCGGCAGACGCGAGAGAUGCCAGCAGCAGCAGGAGCUCUCUGGUGGGUGAAACCUUCUGCUCGCACAGCAAGUCCCAGCCCCGAGCUGCUGGAGAUAUGGGGUGUUGCAAACUCCCUGGCUCCUGGAGGCAGGUGCUGCUUUAGUGAUCAGCUCUGAACGCCGUGGCAAGCAGUGGAUGCAGCUACUGUAUCUCCAAGGCCUCACACACAUAGUGCAGAAGCUGCUUUGCCAUGUUGCAUGGAGAAUUAAUGAAGUCACAUGAUGGUAUUGUUUCCAAUAUAUUGUUUUUCCCCAGCUGCUAAAUUACAUUACAAAACACUAAAUAAACACUCAAAAUUUUCCUUAAAUAAAUGUAUCACGUAGCAAUUAUUGCAGCUAAUCUCAGUGCGGGUAUGUGACUAAAAGUGGGAGGUGUCAAUCAAUGUAAUUAGAAAAGAUGUGCCUGAAAAACAACCUCUGCAUUACAAUAUUGUACCCACUAUAAACACCCUACCACAUGGUGUGUCCCUUCUUAGUUACAAAGUGUAAGGCCUGUGUUGAUUCAGGCUUGAAUUACGCAGUAAAUCUUUUUCGUGAAUUUAUAGACUGUCUCUUUGAAGGCAGAAUUGUGCCAGCCUAUUUAUUUAAAGUCUUUUUUUUCACUGCAGCAGCAUGCUUUGGAGAUUUAAUACCUUAUAUGCAAAAGCCCUGAGUGACAGCAGCUCUGCCAGCUCAUGAUACUUAUAAUGCAUUACAUAUUAUCAAUAAAAUGUUGCAAGACAUGUCAUAGAUCUUAUUAACAUAACUUUAAAUUAUGGGUACAAGUUUGACCUAUCUAUUGAUGGAUUAGAAACAAAGCUUAGACUGU